rnacentral:ncRNA from 1 species
GCCCGCACCUCCGGCCCCCGGACGACGGUUCAGUACCCGGCACGCGACAAGACUGGC